rnacentral:hammerhead_ribozyme from 1 species
AUACAGCUGACGAGUCCUAAAUAAGACGAAACACGCGUCCUCGAU